GCAUUACAACCAACAGACAAAAAGAAGAAAGCGAACAAGUCGUCAUCCAAUGUACAACAUGAGAGCCUAUCUGUUGCUUUGAUUAAGGCAUUACCAAAUUUACUGGUGCAAUUUAAAAGCGAUUCUACAAUUAUUGAGAGUUUAGUAAGC
rnacentral:rRNA from 13 species